UGAGAACUGAAUUCCAUGGGUU
rnacentral:miRNA from 21 species